AUUUAUGUGAACAUGUCUGUCUCGUGUAAAUUAACACGUUCCAAUCAAACGACUAUGUGGAGUAAAUUUCCUGUCUGGUGCUUCGCUUUGUGUAGCUACAUCUCUUCUUCUGAGACACUUCAACAAACAGACGGCGGCGACGGCGACUGCAAACCAUGGAUGUAUUAGAAGAACUGGAUGAAGAAUCGCGACCCCCUCGCUGCCUUGAAGACAAUGUUUUUCAGUGGCCACUGGAGAAUUUCAUUUGCAGAGCACAGGGGGCCAAUAUCUAGGGUAAUUCCCAGGGUUUAGUGCCACUGAUCUCUUCCCAGCUCACCUUGGGGGGAGAAAAAUGAAAGCGGCGAUAAGGCCUUACCCUGCCCAGGACCAUGUUCACCCUGUGCUGUCCACCGACUCACUGCUGUCAGCUACUGGAAUCUCACGCAGACGACACCUGGCCAGUGUCACUUUCACUGUCUGAAGGCAUCUCAACACAAACUAAAAGGUGAUAUGAGAAAAAGAAGCAAUAAUUCAUGUUUUUUUGUUGUUUUCUGAAUGUGCAGAUUGAAAUGCAUGUAGUUUCAUAUUUUUUUUUUAUUGCUCGACAGUCGAGCCAGGGUUUUAAAUCAUCAUAAUGUAAUCUUAAUGAGGAACAUUCUAUCGUUUGGUUGCUUUUUAUCAUCACUUUAAGUUAAACUGAAUUUUCCUCGUUGUUAGAAUCCAAAAAAGUGUUGCAAUACUUUUAAAAUUCUCAUCAAGAUUAGUUUAAUAAGAUUAAAUAUGACUUAAUUUUUUUCUAGAUUUAUAGGCCAAUAACAUUGUGUGAAAAGAGGUUUUAAUGUUUAACUCUAGUAGUUUUAUUUCAAAGGACCCUGAUCAUGGUGAACUUCCUUCCUUCCAGUAUGACUUCCCAUCUUCCCGAGUAGCAAAUUACUUUUCUGCCAUUUAAUAAAAUCCGUGUUCAUGACCAGUUUUUAGUUCCCGGAUAAAUGUCAUUCCCCGUCAAUGUGACACCUGCAAAAAAAGAAUUUAAUUUCAAAUUUUGUCCCCGAAACUGACAGAGCUCCAUUUAGACGAGUGAGAGACAUAUUAAGAAAUGAAAUGUCAAAAGAUUGUGACUCAAUAAUAGUCGGCGGGAGGGAUGUGUGAUUCUCAUGUUUGUUAAAAAAAAUGGAAAAUUGCUUAAAGAAGAAAUAAUAAAAAA